GACGAACGCUGGCGGCGUGCUUAACACAUGCAAGUCGAACGAUGACGACCGAGCUUGCUCGGUCUGAUUAGUGGCGAACGGGUGAGUAACACGUGAGCAACCUGCACUUCACUCUGGGAUAACCUCGGGAAAUCGGGGCUAAUACCGGAUAUGAGCUCCUGUCGCAUGGCGGGUGCUGGAAAGUUUUUCGGUGAAGGAUGGGCUCGCGGCCUAUCAGUUUGUUGGUGAGGUAGUGGCUCACCAAGGCGAUGACGGGUAGCCGGCCUGAGAGGGCGACCGGCCACACUGGGACUGAGACACGGCCCAGACUCCUACGGGAGGCAGCAGUGGGGAAUAUUGCACAAUGGGCGAAAGCCUGAUGCAGCGACGCCGCGUGAGGGAUGACGGCCUUCGGGUUGUAAACCUCUUUCAGCAGGGAAGAAGCGAAAGUGACGGUACCUGCAGAAGAAGCGCCGGCUAACUACGUG
rnacentral:rRNA from 1 species